CCAGGGCCAGAGGGCGGUCGCCCGUCCUGCGAACGCUGCCGCCAGCAGCAGCGAAAAACUAAGCCUGGAGCUUGCCAUGGCCCGCCGGUCUCCCCUCUCGGAGAGGCCUGGCCACGUGAGACCCUGGUCAGGCAUCAUCUCUCUUCUCAACUACUUAACUUCCAGAUCUCCUGCCCGUGAUGAAAAUGUCACUGUGAUUCCAACAGAGAGAUCAAGGCUGGGGGUUGGUCCAGUGACUACAGUAUCACCUGCUAAAGAUGAAGAAGAGCCAAGGUCUGAGAUGGAAUCUCUAAAUGUGAGAGAGAAAAAUUUACCAGAGGCAGGACUGUGAUGGUGAUAGGAAAACCUAACUAUAGCUUGUCUUAAAAGCAGGGGAGAAGCUGAGUUGGGAAUGAUCGCAUAAAUUCUUGGAAACCCUCCUAAUAUCAUGUCCAUAUUACUGGAGGAGACAACAUUAAACCUGAUGAAAUGUCUUUUGCGUGCAUUGGAUCCAAAAUAGGUAUGAUAGCAAUAAAGUAAGUAAUAACUCACUUAAGAAAAACAUUUCUAAAAGAAAACAACAAUGUUUAGAGUCAUGAAUGAAAGAAACUAGUGAAAGAUGCAGUGUGUAGACCAGAGACUUCUUUGGGUAUGAGGGAUCUCAUGGACCAGAAAGGCCCAUGGAGAAGAACGUUAAUUACUUCUAUUUAGAAUUUUCUUUAUUAUGUGUGGCUUUGGGUAUACUCCGGAUGGAAAGCACUUGGACAAAUACUGUUGAAUCUGAACUUGAUAGCGUUACCAGAAAUGGAGUAAAUAUCAAUGGAUAUAAGACCUACUACUCAAAGGAACUGAGAGGUGCUGGGUAGAUUCUAGGGAAUCCAUGAGGUCCCACUUACUGUGAGGACUGAUAAUUUGAAACCUUUACGGUCUGUUACGUAAAACCACUGCUUCUCCCUAGGCAGGGAGAUACCUUAACCAGGCAUCCACAAACUCCCUGAAAUUCUAUACAAAACUUGUAUAUGUAUUCUUCUGUGAAGAGGGCCAGAGAUUCCAUCAGAUUCUUCCUUCCCCCUGCCCCGCCCCCGGAAGAUAGUUUCAAGUAAACUCCAUCAAAUUCUUGACAGGCCUGUGACCUCUUUGAUUCCUUAAGCAUCGAUUAUGUUUUACUGAGCCAAAUGGGACUAAAGGGCUUCUUCAGCAGAUGUACAGAUAGAUAGACAGAUAGAUAGAUAGAUAGAUAGAUAGAUAGAUAGAUAGAUAGAUAAAUAGAUUGAUAGAUAGAUGAUAGAUCGAUAGAUAGGCCUAUCUAUAUCUAUAAUACAUCUACAUCUAUAUCUAUACAAGCUGAAAGAUUUUCCAUGUUUUAUAUAUAUCCUGUAAAGCUAAGUACGGAGGGAGGAGGUGGUAUUUUCAGACAAUCAUGUAGGUCUUUUGAUGGCUAAAGAUCUCUUUCACACUCAGACUAGAUUUCACACACAAGGUCCCUGAUACUCAUUUUGUCUUUCAUACCCUUAGUUGCUGCCACUAUUGGUUGAGAUCCAUUUUUCUCCCCAAAGCUGGCAAUGAAAUGGACUAUAAUGUCCAGCUUCACUCUUGUUGUGUGUAAAGAUAAGCCCUUGGAUCCUUUUGGUUUAAUUUAGAGAUUCACUAGUAACCUUUGCAGAAAACAAAAAUAAUAGACAUUGAGCAAUUAUAUAAUUUUUAUAAUCCUGGUCCUGAUCAGUAAUUCCCAAACAUUUCCAGAUGGUAACUGGAAGCCCUUUAAGUUAAUACUUAUGCUUUUAUUCCUGUGGGUUGGAGCUUACAUACAGCACACAAAUGUAUGCACCCACACACAGAUACACAGACAUAUAUACACAUUUUGAUCCUGCCGUAGAAAACCCUUUCUUCAUGCCCCUCUUCCGACCAGGCGAGUUUCAUUAUGGCAGAAUUACUUGUGCCUCCUUACUUCAAGUGGCCUUAGUUCAGAGCCUCUUCAGACUAUUCCUGGGCCUUUGUCUGGUUGUAAGAACAGACAUGUAGUCAAAGUCAACUCUCCCUCCUCACAUUACCACUCACACAAACUCUAACCUAUACAUGAACUGGUUAAGUACUCACUGGGUUCACAAUCUUUAUUUGUAAUUUAGUUUGAAUACUUUAAUUAUAUGACUAAAUUGACAGGAUACUGAACACUGAUGACUCUUCAAGAAACAAAAGUUCUAAAUGGGGUGAAGAGAAGAAAGUAAGUCUGAGUGAAGGUGGAAGAAGCGAGAUAAUAAGAAAGUAAUGCCAGGUACGGCGGUUCACGCCUGUAAUCCCAGCACUUUGGGAGGCCAAGGCGGGUGGAUCACUUGAGGUCAGGAGUUCGAGACCAGCCUGGCCAACAUGGUGAGACCCCCCG